rnacentral:tRNA from 1 species
UAAACUUUUGUUACAUAAGGGUUUUGAAAACCUUUUUAGGAAAGAACUUUUCCAACUUUAC